AACGAACGCUGGCGGCAUGCCUAACACAUGCAAGUCGAACGAGACCUUCGGGUCUAGUGGCGCACGGGUGCGUAACGCGUGGGAACCUGCCUUUAGGUUCGGAAUAAACUCAGAGAAAUUUGAGCUAAUACCGGAUGAUGUCUUCGGACCAAAGAUUUAUCGCCUUUAGAUGGGCCCGCGUAAGAUUAGCUAGUUGGUGGGGUAAAGGCCUACCAAGGCGACGAUCUUUAGCUGGUCUGAGAGGAUGAUCAGCCACACUGGGACUGAGACACGGCCCAGACUCCUACGGGAGGCAGCAGUGGGGAAUAUUGGACAAUGGGCGAAAGCCUGAUCCAGCAAUGCCGCGUGAGUGAUGAAGGCCUUAGGGUUGUAAAGCUCUUUUACCCGAGAUGAUAAUGACAGUAUCGGGAGAAUAAGCUCCCGGCGUAACUACCGUGCCAGCAGCCGCGGUAAAGUGACUACUG
rnacentral:rRNA from 1 species